rnacentral:miRNA from 1 species
UCACAUUACCUUCUCUCUCUCUCUCUCUCUCUCUCUCUCUCUCUCUCUCUCACACACACACACACACACAGGAGAGAGAGAGAGAGAGAGAGAGAGAGAGAUGAAUGUGAUG